GGGGCCGUAGCUCAGUUGGUAGAGCAUCCGCUUUGCAAGCGGAGGGCCGUCGGUUCGAAUCCGUCCGGCUCCA
rnacentral:tRNA from 1 species